GACGAACGCUGGCGGCGUGCUUAACACAUGCAAGUCGAACGGAAAGGCCCUGCUUUUGUGGGGUGCUCGAGUGGCGAACGGGUGAGUAACACGUGAGUAACCUGCCCUUGACUUUGGGAUAACUUCAGGAAACUGGGGCUAAUACCGGAUAGGAGCUCCUGCUGCAUGGUGGGGGUUGGAAAGUUUCGGCGGUUGGGGAUGGACUCGCGGCUUAUCAGCUUGUUGGUGGGGUAGUGGCUUACAAAGGCUUUGACGGGUAGCCGGCCUGAGAGGGUGACCGGCCACAUUGGGACUGAGAUACGGCCCAGACUCCUACGGGAGGCAGCAGUGGGGAAUAUUGCACAAUGGGCGGAAGCCUGAUGCAGCAACGCCGCGUGCGGGAUGACGGCCUUCGGGUUGUAAACCGCUUUCGCCUGUGACGAAGCGUGAGUGACGGUAAUGGGUAAAGAAGCACCGGCUAACUACGUG
rnacentral:rRNA from 1 species